AUAUCAAUUUGUACUAAAUUAAAUACAUAAAUCAAACCUCAAAUCAAGCACUACAAUUCCAACAAUUAUUCAGAGUAUAUAAUAAUGCUAACUACUAAACAUCUUUUCAAGGAAGUUGAGCUAUCAUAUAUUUAUACCCAACACAGCAAAACACAGUAUAAAAUAGUAUGAAUAUUCUUCAUCAUCAACACCCCCACCCCCCCAACAGCAGAAUUUUCAGUUGUUGAUGAUUUUUGGUCAAACCCUAGGUCCUAGUGACAUUAACC
rnacentral:lncRNA from 1 species